GAUGAACGCUGGCGGCGUGCCUAAUACAUGCAAGUCGAGCGAACGGACGAGAAGCUUGCUUCUCUGAUGUUAGCGGCGGACGGGUGAGUAACACGUGGAUAACCUACCUAUAAGACUGGGAUAACUUCGGGAAACCGGAGCUAAUACCGGAUGAUAUUUUGAACCGCAUGGUUCAAAAGUGAAAGACGGUCUUGCUGUCACUUAUAGAUGGAUCCGCGCUGCAUUAGCUAGUUGGUAAGGUAACGGCUUACCAAGGCAACGAUGCAUGGCCGACCUGAGAGGGUAAUCGGCCACACUGGAACUGAGACACGGUCCAGACUCCUACGGGAGGCAGCAGUAGGGAAUCUUCCGCAAUGGGCGAAAGCCUGACGGAGCAACGCCGCGUGAGUGAUGAAGGUCUUCGGAUCGUAAAACUCUGUUAUUAGGGAAGAACAUAUGUGUAAGUAACUGUGCACAUCUUGACGGUACCUAAUCAGAAAGCCACGGCUAACUACGUG
rnacentral:rRNA from 1 species